AGCGAACGCUGGCGGCAGGCUUAACACAUGCAAGUCGAGCGGGCAUCUUCGGAUGUCAGCGGCAGACGGGUGAGUAACACGUGGGAACGUACCCUUCGGUUCGGAACAACUCUGGGAAACUGGAGCUAAUACCGGAUACGCCCUUAUGGGGAAAGGUUUACUGCCGAAGGAUCGGCCCGCGUCUGAUUAGCUAGUUGGUGGGGUAACGGCCUACCAAGGCGACGAUCAGUAGCUGGUCUGAGAGGAUGAUCAGACACACUGGGACUGAGACACGGCACAGACUCCUACGGGAGGCAGCAGUGGGGAAUAUUGGACAAUCGGCGCAAGCCUGAUCCAGCCAUGCCGCGUGAGUGAUGAAGGCAUUAGGGUUGUAAAGCUCUUUUGUCCGGGACGAUAAUGACGGUACCGGAAGAAUAAGCCCCGGCUAACUUCGUG
rnacentral:rRNA from 1 species